rnacentral:rRNA from 1 species
CAGUCGCCGCGGUAAUAUGUAGGUGGCAAGCGUUGUCCGGAAUUAUUGGGCGUAAAGCGCGCGCAGGCGGCCUAUCCAGUCUGUCUUAAAAGUUCGGGGCUCAACCCCGUGAUGGGAUGGAAACUAGUAGGCUAGAGUAUCGGAGAGGAAAGCGGAAUUCCUAGUGUAGCGGUGAAAUGCGUAGAUAUUAGGAAGAACACCAGUGGCGAGGGCGGCUUUCUGGACGAAAACUGACGCUGAGGCGCGAAAGCCAGGGGAGCGAACGGGAUUAGAUACCCCCGUAGUCCCUGUCUCUUAUACA